UGCGUAGGUGGCCGGGUAAGUCUGAUGUGAAAUCUCCGAGCCUAACUCGGAAACUGCAUCGGAUACUAUUCGGCUGGAGGGUUGGAGGGGGGGACUGGAAUACUUGGUGUAGCAGUGAAAUGCGUAGAUAUCAAGUGGAACACCAGUGGCGAAGGCGAGUCCCUGGACAACUCCUGACACUGAGGCACGAAAGGCUAGGGAAGGCAAACA
rnacentral:rRNA from 1 species